rnacentral:tRNA from 1 species
GGGGCUGUAGCUCAGCUGGGAGAGCGCGUCGUUCGCAAUGACGAGGUCAGGGUUCGAUCCCCCUCAGCUCCACCA